rnacentral:rRNA from 1 species
CCUACGGGCGGCAGCAGUGGGGAAUAUUGCACAAUGGGCGCAAGCCUGAUGCAGCCAUGCCGCGUGUGUGAAGAAGGCCUUCGGGUUGUAAAGCACUUUCAGCGGGGAGGAAGGCGGUGAGGUUAAUAACCUCAUCGGUUGACGUUACCCGCAGAAGAAGCACCGGCUAACUCCGUGCCAGCAGCCGCGGUAAUACGGAGGGUGCAAGCGUUAAUCGGAAUUACUGGGCGUAAAGCGCACGCAGGCGGUCUGUCAAGUCGGAUGUGAAAUCCCCGGGCUCAACCUGGGAACUGCAUUCGAAACUGGCAGGCUAGAGUCUUGUAGAGGGGGGUAGAAUUCCAGGUGUAGCGGUGAAAUGCGUAGAGAUCUGGAGGAAUACCGGUGGCGAAGGCGGCCCCCUGGACAAAGACUGACGCUCAGGUGCGAAAGCGUGGGGAGCAAACAGGAUUAGAUACCCGAGUAGUC